UGGAUCGGCCCACGGGUCGGAU
rnacentral:snRNA from 1 species